GAGACCCACCUAGACCCGGCCCUGGUGGCCGCUGGACGCGGCGACUCAGUUAGGAAAAGGGCAGGCGGUCGGAGAGGAGAAGUCGAGGUGGCUGAAACGCGGCUGCCCCGCGGAGAUCGCGGGCCUCAAGGGACUGCCCUCCCAUCCUCCAUCCCCCGCAAGGACUAAGGCCAAGCCGCGGCUGCCGCAGCCGCCGCCCCCUCUCCCCUCGUCCCCGGUCCCGGAGGCUCUGGGGUGCUGCCGCCGCUGCAACUUUCUCCUGUGAUACCCCCUCUUUGUUAUGGAGCAGCUGAUCCGCUGACAUCACCCGGCGCCGGUGCGCUCCCUCCCUCGUUGAUUGACAGUUCCCGGUCCUUUCCCAGAAGUGAGGCUCCUUAGAACCCAAGGCGCUCCGGGGCUGCGCCGCCUCUUCCAGGCAGUGGGAAGGCCCGGCGGCGUUUACCUUUUGGCUUGGUUCACUAUUUGCCAGCCACGCGGUCCAGAUCGCCGCCGGCUGCUCGCUAGAGCCGGGGGCCUCGAGGGUACCCGCCUGGGGUGGGUGAGGGGCUCGGGGCGCCAGAUACCCCGCGAUGUGCCACCAGGGACUUGGAAGUGCGUCAUUCUGGGUGUUCCUACCACUAUCUCACUCCAGGACAGCUGGAGCGCACUCGGAACUAAGGAAGCCUUUAGUUCCUGAGCUUCGACUUCCUCUUGCCCUCGAGCCCCACUUCACUCGACUUGCUACUGCCCAGAGUUGCAAAGUGCGGCAGGCCCAGGAGCGCAGGUGCCCCGUCCCCCUCCACUGCCCAGCGCUGCCUCCACAAGCCAGUUCCCUCAACUCCAGGGGGCGUCCUUCACCCCGGAUUCCUCCCGACUGCAAGUCCUACCCAGGAGUCCCCAGUCUCCAUCUUCUUUCGCAUCUCCAGGCCCCUAGAGAGAUCCAAGAAUUCACUAAACCCAAAUGGCAGCAGGCUGGUAAUCAGGCCGCACCCGAGCUUUGGCGGGUUCCUUCUCCUUGUCUUGAAGAUGGAGCCACCAAGCGGAGAGCCGGAGCCAGGACCCCGUGUCUAGCGCGCCUCCUUCUCUCGCCUCCGGUCCUGUACUUGUGAUGUCCCUAGUUGUCUCUUUAGUUUCUCCAAGUGCCAACCACUUCACAGACUCAGGCAUCUUUGAGGGAAGAAAACUCCCUUCCCAGCCCAGCCAGCCACUUAAAGAGUGUCAUUAUGGCGCUACUUCUUACAGGUGGCAGCAAAGGAUCUCUUUAAAUAGCGGGUUAAAUGCAUGCGCAUGUACACAAUGUACCGUGGAAUUACUGGGUGACAGUCUGGCCUUCUGCCAAGAACAGUCAUCGUGGAGGGUGGGAGGGAUGGGGCAGGAACCAAAGAAAGUUGUUCUUUUUCGUUUUUCUGAACAAUAAAUGAGGCAGGAUUUCAAGUCACUUCCAAGGCCUGAGAGAGUCAGUACCCACCCACCCCCGUGCCCCCUCCCUUAUUUUCUUAAAUGCCUUUUUUUUUUUUUUUUUUUGUAGGCAGGAUCUCCUGUAGCCCGGGAGGGGUUUCUAACAUCUAACUCAUCUCGCCUCUAUCUUUACAGCCCCAUAAUUACAAACCUUGGCCAGCAUGCUGAAUGUAUAGUUCUGGAGAUCCAAUCCAGGCUCUUCCAUGUUAGGAAAGAAAGCUUUCUACCAAAUGAGCUGCAUCCCCCGCUGGCUAUUCUAUGUCAGUCAGAAAAAGAGAAAAAAAAAAAAAGUAAAAGAAACAGGACUGGUGGCAUUAACCCCACCCCACCCCACCCCCCGCACUAGGGAGGCAGAGGCAGGUAGAUCUCUGAGUUCAAGGCCAGCCUGUUUGGUCUAUAGAAUGAGUUUCUGGUCAGCCAGGGCUAUAUAGAGAAAUCCUGUCUCAAAGGGAAAAACCACUUAAGAGAAAAAUUAUAGAGACACUAACCCCAAAUACGAUCAGAAAUGUUAGCUCUGUUCUGAUGGCGUUCGAAAGAGGAAGGUUGUGGAUGUCCAGUUAGAAGGCUUAGCAUCCCUCACCUGCAAAGUGUACCAGGGUGGCCACUCUGGCUGUAUGGGUUCCUCCCAUUCAGGCCAUAUGGGGAGAGACUUCUCUGGUUGAGGCUGGAUUGCUCUGUGGACCUUUAGCCGAGGCUACACCACUGUGCACACUGGCUCAGGCUAUACUGUUCUGAAGUCUUCCAUCCCCUUCGAAGUCUGUCUUGGGACUGAUCUCCUUAAGAUCUUCCAGGACAGGUACCUGGGACCUUUGUUAGGCUCCUCACAAAUCUACUCCUGCAGGGAAAUAGGAAAGGAUACUUUCAGAUUAUAGCUUAAAAACCCUGGAGCUGGGGCUACAGUCAGUGGUAAGCCCUUGGAUGUGGGUGCUGGGAACCAAAUGUGGGUCUUCUGAGACAUCACUUUAAAACAUGAAUACAGAAAUAGGAUUUUACUGAGUGUGUGUGCAUGCACAUGCCUGUGAGUGUGUGCUAGACAGAGUCUCUCACUUGCCUGGAACUUGUGGAGUAGGGCAGGCCUCAGAUAACCACCUGUUUCUGUCUUCCCAGUGGUUGGGUUGCAAUUAUACACCUUCACACUUGUCUUUUGUUGCUGUUGUUGUUUUGUUUUGUUUUGAAGCCAUGGAUUCUGGAGUUGAAGAAUCUCCCCAGUCCUUAUUCAGAGGUUCUGAAAAGGCAUUUACUGUGCUUCAUCCCUUCCUGGCUUUGAGCUGUAUGAUAUCUCUUCUUAUUUUUAGAUCUUAUGUAUCACUACUUCCCUUACACAUGAUGCAGGUGCUCACAUGACGAAGAAUAUCAGAUGCUCAUCUCUUUCAGCUACUAGACAAUAAAAAUGCUGAAAAUCGAAGGAAGAAGAAAAAAUAAUUUUAUUUCUUUACUGAAAGAAGGUAAUGUCAGGGCAGGAAACGCCCCCUCAGGACACAGACCCAGGCUCACGGUGGGAGGGUGCAUGUGUGUGCUGAGGGAGGGGAAGGGCCUGCCACAAGAGUCUUACCUCUGUCUUUGGGUUCAGAGGAGAAUGUUCUCUUGGAGGAGGACUGUUAGUGCAGGUGCUAGGAGCAGCCUACUUGUGGCAAGAGCCUUUCCAUGUGCUGCUUUGAAAGUGUUUGGAACCAGUGUCCAUUCCCUGCCCCUACAGAAAUGGUUCUCGAAUGUGCCUAGAAGGGUCUGGUGCCGAGGCUUUGUACAAACCACUACUCCUAGCCCCUUGAUGAUGGAUUCAGGAGAGCUUCUACUGGCUGAGCACGCCCUCUGCCCCUCACUGGUCCAGUCAGGCAGGACUUCAUCACUGAGCCACUACUCCCAGGCUCCCAGCUCCUAGCUCAUGUCCCUGCAGUGUGUCCAGUAAACUAAAUUUAGACCCCCUGGGACAACAGAGAAAGAGCCACGUGGCCCGGAUCUCUGUCUUCGUGUGCCGUGGACCACAUGACAUGCUUGCCUCUCCGGA
rnacentral:lncRNA from 1 species